rnacentral:tRNA from 1 species
GGCUUGCUGGUCUGGUGGUAUGAUUCUCACUUUGGGUGCGAGAGGUCACGGGUUCGAUUCCCGUGCAAGCCC